rnacentral:rRNA from 1 species
GAGGAGACGCUGGCGGCGUGGAUUAGGCAUGCAAGUCGAACGGUAUCAUCCUUCGGGGGUGAGAGAGUGGCGAACUGGUGAGUAACACGUAGGUUAUCUACCCUCAAGACGGGACAACCCAGGGAAACUUGGGCUAAUACCGGAUGUGAGCAACUUUUAGUUGUUUGAAAGGUGGCGUAAGCUGUCGCUUGGGGAUGAGCCUGCGUCCUAUUAGUUAGUUGGUGAGGUAACGGCUCACCUAGGCAAUGAUAGGUAGGCGGCCUUAACGGGUGGUCGCCCACACUGGGAUUGAGAUACGGCCCAGACUCCUACGGGAGGCAGCAGUCGAGAAUAGUCUACAAUGGUCGGAAGACUGAUAGUGCGACGCCGCGUGAACGAUGAAUCCCUUCGGGGUGUAAAGUUCUUUUAUAUGUGAGCAGUGCUUCUUAUAUUAACAGUAUGGGGAGAGAGAUAUUAGCAUAUGAAUAAGCAACGGCUAACUCCGUG